rnacentral:rRNA from 1 species
AUGAACGCUAGCUACAGGCUUAACACAUGCAAGUCGAGGGGCAGCAUGGUCUUAGCUUGCUAAGGCCGAUGGCGACCGGCGCACGGGUGAGUAACACGUAUCCAACCUGCCGUCUACUCUUGGACAGCCUUCUGAAAGGAAGAUUAAUACAAGAUGGCAUCAUGAGUCCGCAUGUUCACAUGAUUAAAGGUAUUCCGGUAGACGAUGGGGAUGCGUUCCAUUAGAUAGUAGGCGGGGUAACGGCCCACCUAGUCUUCGAUGGAUAGGGGUUCUGAGAGGAAGGUCCCCCACAUUGGAACUGAGACACGGUCCAAACUCCUACGGGAGGCAGCAGUGAGGAAUAUUGGUCAAUGGGCGAGAGCCUGAACCAGCCAAGUAGCGUGAAGGAUGACUGCCCUAUGGGUUGUAAACUUCUUUUAUAAAGGAAUAAAGUCGGGUAUGCAUACCCGUUUGCAUGUACUUUAUGAAUAAGGAUCGGCUAACUCCGUGCCAGCAGCCGCGGUAAUACGGAGGAUCCGAGCGUUAUCCGGAUUUAUUGGGUUUAAAGGGAGCGUAGAUGGAUGUUUAAGUCAGUUGUGAAAGUUUGCGGCUCAACCGUAAAAUUGCAGUUGAUACUGGAUAUCUUGAGUGCAGUUGAGGCAGGCGGAAUUCGUGGUGUAGCGGUGAAAUGCUUAGAUAUCACGAAGAACUCCGAUUGCGAAGGCAGCCUGCUAAGCUGCAACUGACAUUGAGGCUCGAAAGUGUGGGUAUCAAACAGGAUUAGAUACCCUGGUAGUCCACACGGUAAACGAUGAAUACUCGCUGUUUGCGAUAUACGGCAAGCGGCCAAGCGAAAGCGUUAAGUAUUCCACCUGGGGAGUACGCCGGCAACGGGGAAACUCAAAGGAAUUGACGGGGGCCCGCACAAGCGGAGGAACAUGUGGUUUAAUUCGAUGAUACGCGAGGAACCUUACCCGGGCUUAAAUUGCAGAUGAAUUACGGUGAAAGCCGUAAGCCGCAAGGCAUCUGUGAAGGUGCUGCAUGGUUGUCGUCAGCUCGUGCCGUGAGGUGUCGGCUUAAGUGCCAUAACGAGCGCAACCCUUGUUGUCAGUUACUAACAGGUUCUGCUGAGGACUCUGACAAGACUGCCAUCGUAAGAUGUGAGGAAGGUGGGGAUGACGUCAAAUCAGCACGGCCCUUACGUCCGGGGCUACACACGUGUUACAAUGGGGGGUACAGAGGGUCGCUACCACGCGAGUGGAUGCCAAUCCCAAAAACCUCUCUCAGUUCGGACUGGAGUCUGCAACCCGACUCCACGAAGCUGGAUUCGCUAGUAAUCGCGCAUCAGCCACGGCGCGGUGAAUACGUUCCCGGGCCUUGUACACACCGCCCGUCAAGCCAUGGGAGCCGGGGGUACCUGAAGUGCGUAACCGCGAGGAGCGCCCUAGGGUAAAACUGGUGACUGGGGCU